UCUAGAAAAAGAGUUGGCAACGACGUAAAUUGCAUUUGACUGUCACUGAUCACUGUCAAUGUGACUAAAUGUCACUUGUCAAAAUCAAGCUGUAGGUGCUGCUCGAAAUUCCAAAUAAAAAAUAUGUCAGGACACGCAGACCCUCCAGAGGCGACCAACCUAAAAGGUUUAUCCAAACAUUUCAACACUAUGACCCUCAGGGGACGGGCUAACGUUGCCAUCGCCACUUACACCUUCUGUGGCUUGAUGGGGAUGUACUUUUACUUGAAACCCAAGAAGAGCCCAGCAGCAUAAAGUUAUUAGUUACAAAUUUAAGGUGUAGAUCUUAGGUGGGAAAUGUUUUUUUUUUUUUUAAUAGAAGUGGUAAAAUAUAAAGGUUAUUUCUCCUAAGAAGUAAAAUUUAUAAGUAUUAUUGAAUGUGACCCAAUAAGUUGAUAGUACAUUAGUAUUUAGGUAGCACAGGAUAAGACAAAUGUUGAAAUGUUCAAUGAGUUAACAGUAUUGGCAAGAUUAUAUGAAAAACUUCUUUUAAAAGUUCUUCUCUAUGUCGCGGAAUAGUUAGAAGAUGUAAUUGUCCAAAGCGUCGGUGGUCAUGAAGUAAAAG